AACGCGAAGAACCUUACCUGGGUUUGAUAUGUACUGGAAGACUACCAGAAAUGGUGUCGCCUUCGGGCCGGUACACAGGUGCUGCAUGGCUGUCGUCAGCUCGUGUCGUGAGAUGUUGGGUUAAGUCCCGCAACGAGCGCAACCCUUGCGAAUAGUUGCCAGCAUUUAGUUGGGCACUCUAUUCGGACUGCCGACGUUAAGUCGGAGGAAGGUGGGGAUGACGUCAAGUCCUCAUGGCCUUUAUAUCCAGGGCCACACACGUGCUACAAUGGCCGGUACAAAGGGAAGCCAAGUCGCAAGAUGGAGCUAAUCCCCCAAAACCGGUCUAAGUUCGGAUUGGAGUCUGCAACUCGACUCCAUGAAGCUGGAAUCGCUAGUAAUCGUGGAUCAGCACGCCACGGUGAAUACGUUCCCGGGCCUUGUACACACUGACUGUAC
rnacentral:rRNA from 1 species